rnacentral:misc_RNA from 1 species
GAUGAAGAACGCAGCGAAACGCGAAAGUUAAUGCGAAUUGCAGAAUCAGUGAGUCAUCGAGUUUUUGAACGCACAUUGCGCCUCUUGGUAUUCCAGGAGGCACGCCUGUUCGAGCGCCAUUACAAACUCCAAGCCGCUGCUUGAUGUUGGACGGUGUCCGGAGAGGGACACGUCUGGAACACGUUGGCGCCGCCGGCGGACCACGAGCGUAGCAAGACGAAAGUCAAUCGUUCGGUUUUGGAUUCCGUCGGUGGCGGCCUGCCGCACCGUGAGGUCGCACGACGUCACGGUGCUCACCCACACAAAGUUUGGCCUCGGAUCAGGCGGGGAUACCCGCUGAACUUAAGCAUAUCAAUAAGCGGAGGA